GAUGAAGAACGUAGCGAAAUGCGAUAAGUAAUGUGAAUUGCAGAAUUCAGUGAAUCAUCGAAUCUUUGAACGCACAUUGCGCCCGGCAGUACUCUGCCGGGCAUGCCUGUUCGAGCGUCAUUUCAACCCUCAAGCCCUGCUUGGUGUUGGGGCCCCACGGCUGCCGUGGGCCCUGAAAGGAAGUGGCGGGCUCGCUACAACUCCGAGCGUAGUAAUUCAUUAUCUCGCUUAGGGCGUUGGGCGGCGCCCCAGCCGUUAAAGAACCAUCUUUAACUCAAGGUUGACCUCGGAUCAGGUAGGAAUACCCGCUGAACUUAAGCAUAUCAAUAAGCGGAGGA
rnacentral:misc_RNA from 1 species